GAGCAGUGGGAAGGAUUUGGAGAGCGGAGGAAUGAAGGAGAGCAGAGAGGAGAGGCUUGGAGAAAAAGUUUGCCAACUCCUGCUCUAGAUUGAUGGUUACAAAGUCUGACAGAGGAUACAGUUACAGGGACAUGGCAAAGCCAGAAAAACGAGGACCGGGAGUCCAGCUUUCAACAAAGCCAAUCUAUUCAAUCUCCAGACUACCCUUUGUACCAAGGACAUUGUUAAGUACCUUCUUAAAGACUGAGUGCAAAAGAGUAUGAUGACUACCAGUCCAGUCUAGGCCCGCUGCUUUGAUUCUUGCUGAGGCACCAGCAAUUUACUGCGGCCACUGUCCUUGCAUCGUCAAUGCAUUGCAGCACCACCACCAGAGCCAGCAGCAAAUCGCAUCUCAGUAACACUGUGGAGAGUCUUUCACCUCGUGGACUUCUUGAAAGGGUCUGGGGGGACCCUCGGAAGUGCACGGACCAUGCUUUGAGAAGCACUGUGUUGGACACAGUCGGGGAUGCUAGGAAGUCACGGGGUGACUCCAAGCAGGGCCCCCUUUGCAUUCAGCCUGCCCUUCUCUCAGCCCAGCAGUGAGAUGGUGGUGCUGAGCCCUGAACGCUGUCUGCUUCCUAGAAGUCCCUGGCAGCGUCCCCACCCCCACGG
ensembl:lncRNA LINC00595 long intergenic non-protein coding RNA 595